UCAGAAUGAACGCUGGCGGCAGGCCUAACACAUGCAAGUCGAGCGCCUCGCAAGAGGAGCGGCGGACGGGUGAGUAACGCGUGGGAACGUACCCUUUGCUACGGAAUAGCCUCGGGAAACUGAGAGUAAUACCGUAUAAGCCCUACGGGGGAAAGAUUUAUCGGCAAAGGAUCGGCCCGCGUUGGAUUAGGUAGUUGGUGGGGUAAUGGCCUACCAAGCCGACGAUCCAUAGCUGGUUUGAGAGGAUGAUCAGCCACACUGGGACUGAGACACGGCCCAGACUCCUACGGGAGGCAGCAGUGGGGA
rnacentral:rRNA from 1 species